CACAUACUCCCUCCGUUCGAAAUUACUCGUCGCAGAAAUGGAUAUAUCUAGAACUAAAAUACAUCUAGAUGCAUCCAUACCUACGACAAGUAAUUCGGAACGGAGGGAAUACAUG
rfam:Triticum urartu cultivar G1812 contig73366, whole genome shotgun sequence.